AGCUCGGCAUUUAUAGGGGUUACAGAUACUAAACAUAUACGUGCGGGAAAAGACUCCGUAAUUACAUGUAUUUACUUUUGAAACACGUGGUCGUCUUUUGGUUGUUUUUAACAGCCUACGGCUGUGAUCAUGAUGGUCAAUGUGACGACAGGGUUUACUGUCCAAGUGGUCAGGUUGAAGCUUGCUCAUACAGACAGUGUACAUGUAAAGUAGGGACAAGAUGCUUGUUUGAUCGUAACUGCAAAGACGACUGCUACCGAAACCAAACCCCUGACUGUCGCUGGUUUAGAUGUUAUUGUCAUAAUACUAAAUAAACAAGACAAACGUUUUG